rnacentral:rRNA from 1 species
UACGUAGGUGGCAAGCGUUAUCCGGAAUUAUUGGGCGUAAAGCGCGCGCAGGUGGUUUCUUAAGUCUGAUGUGAAAGCCCACGGCUCAACCGUGGAGGGUCAUUGGAAACUGGGAGACUUGAGUGCAGAAGAGGAAAGUGGAAUUCCAUGUGUAGCGGUGAAAUGCGUAGAGAUAUGGAGGAACACCAGUGGCGAAAGCGGCUCUUUGGCUCGCAACUGACGCUGAGGCGCGAAAGCGUGGGGAGCAAACAGG